UAAGUGAUUAUGUGCAUACCUUCACUAAUUUCUCUCCUCUCUUGUCUCUAUGCCCCUGUCCCUCUUGGAUUACUUUUCCAGGGCCCGGAAUUGCUGUGGGUCAGGAGGUUGGGUGACUGAUUGUGCGUGAGGAGUGGUGAUGCAGUUCAGGUGUGCCGGGUUUGGCAGCAGGUUAAAAGCCUGCAGUUGCAGCAGUCAAGGGCGCUCCCUCCUCCCGGCGUGUUGGUUUUCGUUGUCCUUUGUUUGGUUACACAUAGACUGACUUUGCAUGACACUUUUGGGUUACUUACAUUUAACUGAUUUACA
ensembl:lncRNA